AUUGAACGCUGGCGGCAGGCCUAACACAUGCAAGUCGUGCGGAUGAAGGGAGCUUGCUCCUGGAUUCAGCGGAGGACGGGUGAGUAAUGCCUAGGAAUCUGCCUGGUAGUGGGGGAUAACGUCGGGAAACGGGCGCUAAUACCGCAUACGUCCUGAGGGAGAAAGUGGGGGAUCUUCGGACCUCACGCUAUCAGAUGAGCCUAGGUCGGAUUAGCUAGUUGGUGGGGUAAAGGCCUACCAAGGCGACGAUCCGUAACUGGUCUGAGAGGAUGAUCAGUCACACUGGAACUGAGACACGUUCCAGACUCCUACGGAAGGCAGCAGUGGGGAAUAUUGGACAAUGGGCGAAAGCCUGAUCCAGCCAUGCCGCGUGUGUGAAGAAGGUCUUCGUAUUGUAAAGCACUUUAAGUUGGGAGGAAGGGCAGUAAGUUAAUACCUUGCUGUUUUGACGUUACCAACAGAAUAAGCACCGGCUAACUUCGUG
rnacentral:rRNA from 1 species